GAUGAAGAACGUAGCGAAAUGCGAUAAGUAAUGUGAAUUGCAGAAUUCAGUGAAUCAUCGAAUCUUUGAACGCACAUUGCGCCCGCCAGUAUUCUGGCGGGCAUGCCUGUCCGAGCGUCAUUUCAACCAUCAAGCCCCCGGGCUUGUGUUGGGGACCUGCGGCUGCCCGCAGGCCCUGAAAACCAGUGGCGGGCUCGCUGUCACACCGAGCGUAGUAGCAAUCACCUCGCUCAGGGCGUGCUGCGGGUUCCGGCCGUUAAACAGCCUUACAAAGCCCAAGGUUGACCUCGGAUCAGGUAGGAAGACCCGCUGAACUUAAGCAUAUCAAUAAGCGGAGGA
rnacentral:misc_RNA from 1 species